GUCUACGGCCAUGCCACCUUGAACACGCCCGAUUUCGUCUGAUCUCGGAAGCUAAGCAGGAUCGGACCUGGUUAGUACUUGAGUGGGAGACCACCUAGGAAUAGCAGGUGCUGUAGGCU
rnacentral:rRNA from 1 species